GUUUUAACUCUCCCAGUCUGUGGCACUUUGUUAUGGUUGCCCUAGGAAACUAAUGACUCCUGUGUUUUCUUGUACCCUGCACCACCUGGUUCGAAGUAUGACUGCCCUUGGGCAAAAUCUCAUUGUGUUUGUGUUUUAUAGGUCCAGUCCUCUUUCAUUCCACUCUUCCAUUUCGGUCAGAUUACAGGAGUCUAGUGCAAUGAACUAAAAUGGAAGAGCCCAUUGGCUUAUAAAGGGGAACACCACGUGAAGAGAGAGCCACACAGGAGAGAGGGAAUGCCGUGUGACCGUGGAGACAGAGACCGAGAUACUGACAUUUCAAGCCAAGUGCUAUUGAAAAAAAAAGGAGGUUUUCUAUUACCGUCUCUGUUCUGAGGUGAGUAAGAGACAGGGUUUUGAAGCAGGAAGAGCUAAGACAGAGGAAGGAACCAGUAUGCACCGAGGACCACUGCAAACACCUCACUUAGUUCUGACACCAUGUAUGGUGAGUAUUCCUUUUCUCACUUUCCAGACGAAGAAACUUUAGUCAAAGAUAACAGAUACCCAGCUCAAGGUCCCACGGUGAGCAAGGGGCCGAGAGAAUUCCAAACAGAGGCCUGAUUCCACAGCCUGUGAUCUUUCUAUGUUAUGCAAAAGUGAUCAAGACAAUAGGUAAAAUCUCAGUCGGUGCCCAUUGUACUUGCUCUGAGACAAGGAGGAAGGGGAGCCUCGAUGAAGCCAUGUAGUUAAGUUACAGAGAAGUAAUAGAGCCUCAUGGUCAGGGUGACCAUCCUGCUGGAGUUCCAGUGUCACCUACCUUCACGCACUGACUAGCGGUGUGGCCUUUGCCACGUGGCUCUGUCUCUCUUGGCCUCAGCCUCCUGCCUGACAUUUGGCGUUAAUGGGGACAGGGAUUAUGGAGCUAUUGUGAAAUUAAAUGAGCAUCACACAAAAGCACUUAGAAUAGAGCCUGUCACACAGGCAGCACAACAUAAGUGCUUGUCGCUGUUGUUAUUUUUUAUUAUUCAAUAUACGACCCGUGGCAAGGUCUCCGCUUCCACCGGAAAAGGCAUAAUGAACCUCCAGGGUGCCUGUGUCCUGUGUGUGGUUCCCAGGACAUGCUGCUUGCUGGUGUGCUCCCUGCCACCGUGAUUUCCAAAAUCUCAGGCGAGCGGGGAUGUUAUGUUUCUAAUUGGACAACUGUCUGCUGGGUGCGCUAAUAGCAUCUUUCACAAGGCUUGUUGGUGAUGCAGGGCAACUGCUGUAAUGUUUCGUAGCCAUUCGUAAGAGCACGAUUGAGAAGGAGAAGGCUAACAUGUAAUUUGCAGUCAUGACUUCCGGCACCAGCUCAGACAAUGUCUCUGUGGUUCUGGUGCUUGAAUCUCUGUCUGCUGGUUCUCUGAAGGCUGUUGGACGCCAGCCCCUUGUCCAGCUGCUCUGUCUUCCCAUCAGGACUGCCAGCCUCUGGGGAGCUCCCUAACUUCUGAAACAAAUGGUCUGUGGUGUCCCGUGUAAAUUGUGUGAACUGUGAACUGAUAGCUGAACCUGGGAGGCUGAGCUGGUGUGGAAGAAGAACAAACCGAGUGUGAUAUUCUUUUUGGACAUUUUGGAUGCUUAAUUUUUUUUUUUUUUCUGAAUUCUGGUGAGUAUUUUUCUAGGACUGCAGUGACCUGCUCGCACCUGAUGGCCAACCAUAUUUUCUUCGUCUCCUAUGGUGUGCUUAUCAGAAAAAUGGACCAGACCCAAUAGACAGAGCCAACGUGACUUUGGGGAUUUUGCUCAUUGAGUAUUGCACACAAGGGUUGGCUUAGAGUACACGGAUUAGAGUUCUCUAGGCCAUCUUGAUGUUUCUGUCUGUCAGAGCAUCCAGUCCUUGGACUUAAUAAUUCCAAAUACAAGGCCUUUCAUUUAAAUGAAAAAACAAACAAAAAAACAAAAAACCAACCAAAUCACAAACUGAACGCCACUUUCUGGAUUGUUCAAGAAACAUUAGGAUGUGUAGUAUGUUUCAGAGCUGGAUUACGAUGUGAGGGUAUAAAAAAUAUGGAACAAGAGAAAAAAUAAAAAAAGAAGAUGCUCUAGAGAAAGCAAAAUAGUCUACAAGUAUGUAAUGAUCCCAAAGCAAAGUAAUCAGGUAAAAGUCUGUAGAUUUCAAGACAUGGAUUUCACACAAUUGAUAGAAAGUAGACAAAAUGAAAUAGAAAGUAUUAUGCAUGAUUCCUAUGCAAAUAAAUUAGAAUGCAGACACACUCACAACCCUAUCUUCCCAUCUGAUACAUUCACACAGAUGAAAGGGCUCUAUAAACACUGUUCUGUGCCUCCCAUUUCUUUUGUCUUCAUAUAUAUUGUGGAAGUUUUCAUACUGGUACGUACUAUUCCUUUUAUGUCAUUCUAGCACGUUAUUUUUCAUGGCUCAAGGCAUUUCAUUGUAUAAAUGCAUCUUAAUCUAUAUCCAUAAUCACCUAUUAAUGAACAGGUAGAUUGUUUCCAGCAUUUAAUUUUUUUAUUUCUUUUCCAAGCAAUACUGCGAUGAAUAUCCCUAGCCAUAAAUCACUGAGUGCAUAUGUGGGUAUGUCUAUAAGAAAAAAAAAAUCGUUGGAGGGGACUUUCUGAGCUAAAGUAUAUUGUAAUACAUAUUGACCUUUUGCCAAAUUGACCUUCAAAGAGGUUAUGCCAAUACAUACUCCCAUUACCACCAUGUGAAUAUCUGUUUCUGCAAAAUCUUGCCCACGCCAUGUUUUGUAAUCCUUUUAAUUGUUGCCAAUCUGUUAAGUAAAAAUAAACACAAUAUCCUGUUGUUUUAA